GCCCCGCACCAGGCCAGGCCGCAGAGGCGGUUGGCAGGCGCGCGGUGCACUGUGGGCAGGGCGAGGAGCCGCGCCGCCAUUUUGUCUCUGUCACUCCGGCGGCGGCGCGGGCGCUCGGGGAGGAGAAGGCGGCGCGGAGCCGGCGUUUGGCGGCGAGGAUUCGGCCCGGAGGACGCGAUGAUAUCGGCCGCCCAGCUCCUCGAUGAGCUUAUGGGCCGGGAUAGGAACCUGGCCCCGGAUGAGAAGCGCAGCAACGUGCGGUGGGACCACGAGAGCGUUUGUAAAUACUACCUUUGUGGCUUUUGCCCAGCUGAACUAUUCACGAAUACCCGUUCUGAUUUAGGUCCUUGUGAAAAAAUUCAUGAUGAAAAUCUACGUAAACAGUAUGAGAAGAGCUCUCGUUUUAUGAAAGUGGGCUACGAAAGAGACUUUUUGCGCUACUUACAAAGCUUACUUGCAGAAGUAGAACGCAGGAUUAGAAGAGGUCAUGCUCGUUUGGCGCUGUCACAGAAUCAGCAGUCUUCUGGGGCAGCGGGACCUACUGGUAAAAAUGAAGAGAAGAUUCAGGUGUUAACUGACAAAAUUGAUGUACUACUACAACAGAUUGAAGAACUAGGCUCAGAAGGGAAGGUGGAAGAGGCACAAGGAAUGAUGAAACUUGUUGAACAGCUAAAAGAAGAGAGAGAAUUGCUGAGGUCUACAACUUCAACAAUUGAGAGCUUUGCCGCCCAAGAGAAGCAAAUGGAAGUUUGUGAAGUUUGUGGAGCCUUCUUAAUUGUAGGAGAUGCACAGUCCAGGGUAGAUGACCACUUGAUGGGAAAGCAGCACAUGGGUUAUGCCAAAAUAAAAGCUACUGUUGAAGACCUGAAAGAAAAGUUACGAAAAAGAACAGAAGAACCUGACCGUGAUGACAGGUUAAAGAAAGAGAAACAAGAAAGAGAAGAGAGAGAGAAGGAGAGGGAACGGGAAAGAGAAGAGCGGGAAAGGAAGAGGCGACGUGAAGAGGAAGAAAAAGAAAAAGAGAGGGCCCGUGAUAGAGAGAGGCGUAAAAGGAGUCGUUCCCGGAGUAGACAUUCAAGCAGAACAUCUGACAGAAGAUGCAGCCGUUCACGAGACCACAAAAGAUCAAGAAGCAGAGAAAGAAGGCGGAGCAGGAGUCGUGACCGAAGAAGAAGCAGAAGCCAUGAUAGAUCAGAAAGGAAACAUAGGUCUCGCAGUAGGGACAGGAGACGGUCAAAAAGCCGUGAUCGGAAAUCUUACAAGCACAGAAGCAAAAGCAGAGAGAGAGAACAAGACAGGAAGUCAAAAGAAAAAGAAAAGAGGGGAUCUGAUGAUAAAAAAAGUAGUGUGAAGUCCAGUAGUCGAGAAAAACAGAGUGAAGACACAAAUACAGACUCGAAGGAGAGUGAUACUAAGAAUGAGGUCAAUGGGACCAGUGAAGACAUUAAAUCUGAAGUGCAGCGUAAGUAUGCACAGAUGAAGAUGGAACUAAGCCAAGUAAGAAGACAUACUAAAGCAUCUUCUGAAGGAAAAGACAGUGUAGUCCUGCAAAACAUUUUGAGGUACAUUGUUUUGUCUCAGCUAUUUCGUAGCAGACUCGUGCCCCCAUUAGUGUGCCUCUUUGGGACAUAUUUGUAAUAUAGUCACCAUAGAAAAAAAUUAAUUAUCCUUUUUUAUUUUUAGGGAUUUUGUUAUCGUUUUUUAAAAAAAGUUGAACUGUUUUUGUAUUUAAGUCCAUAUUGUGUUGGUACAUCAGCAGAAACUUUUGCUUUAAUACUUAAUAUUUGAGGCACAUGUUGGACUACUUUGUUUUUAUAUAAACUGCUAGUAUUUCUUUGUCAAGGAUGUUUCUAGUUUUUUUGCUUUAUUGCCUUGCAUUCUAAUGCAGUUUGUUCUAUAACUCGAGAGCCAGUAGCAUUGGAUUGAUGGAAGUGUAGGGUUUAUGAAUUAUUGCAGCUGACUACCAUACCUCACACAGCGUUGGUGUUGUGAGCGGCCCAUGAAAAGCCAAAUUAAAAAUCAAGGAUUCAGUCAAACUAAGCAGGACUACUACGUGAAGAGUCUGCGAAGACGGCGGAAGACAGCUUAAAAUGAAGAUCUGCUUUAAAAUGAGGUGAAAGAAAGCUGUAGUGGCGUAGAAAAAUAUAAGUUGAGUUAGAAUUUUUUUUAUAAAAUUUAAUUCAGGACUGGUGUUUCCUGCCAGAGUUCAGAAAGAUGUGUUGAUAGCACAUAUGCUACUGAGAAUAUAAGUCCUGUAUCCUUUUUUUCUUUAAGACUUUUUAAGAUAAGAAACCAACAUAACCUGAACACAUGGCUUGCUCAGUGUUUAAUUGCAAGUUUUCAUUCUUGGACUUUAAAACACAAGAAUAAAUGUUUAGUAUUUGUGUGAAUCAAACUAAAAUGAAUCCCAUUUUUACAACUAAGCUAUUCCUAGCUUCUUGAUAUACGAGAAAUGGAAAUAAAGUAUCUUUGAAUUUCUGUUACAAA